ACAAAAGCGCAUGUGCUGUGAGCUCGAUGAGUAGGGCGGGACACGUGGUAUCCUGUCUGAAUAUGGGGGGACCAUCCUCCAAGGCUAAAUACUCCUGACUGACCGAUAGUGAACCAGUACCGUGAGGGAAAGGCGAAAAGAACCCCGGCGAGGGGAGUGAAAAAGAACCUGAAACCGUGUACGUACAAGCAGUGGGAGCACAGGUUUACCUGUGUGACUGCGUACCUUUUGUAUAAUGGGUCAGCGACUUAUAUUCUGUAGCAAGGUUAACCGUAUAGGGGAGCCGGAGGGAAACCGAGUCUUAAUUGGGCGUUAAGUUGCAGGGUAUAGACCCGAAACCCGGUGAUCUAGCCAUGGGCAGGUUGAAGGUUGGGUAACACUAACUGGAGGACCGAACCGACUAAUGUUGAAAAAUUAGCGGAUGACCUGUGGCUGGGGGUGAAAGGCCAAUCAAACCGGGAGAUAGCUGGUUCUCCCCGAAAGCUAUUUAGGUAGCGCCUCGUGAAUUCAUCUCCGGGGGUAGAGCACUGUUUCGGCUAGGGGGCCAUCCCGGCUUACCAACCCGAUGCAAACUGCGAAUACCGGAGAAUGUUAUCACGGGAGACACACGGCGGGUGCUAACGUCCGUCGUGAAGAGGGAAACAACCCAGACCGCCAGCUAAGGUCCCAAAGUCAUGGUUAAGUGGGAAACGAUGUGGGAAGGCCCAGACAGCCAGGAUGUUGGCUUAGAAGCAGCCAUCAUUUAAAGAAAGCGUAAUAGCUCACUGGUCGAGUCGGCCUGCGCGGAAGAUGUAACGGGGCUAAACCAU
rnacentral:rRNA from 1 species